GUAGUGACCUGCGGAGGWCAUUA
rnacentral:rRNA from 1 species